rnacentral:rRNA from 1 species
AUGUUGGACGUCGGACAAAUUAUAGAGACGACUCUGCUACACCCAGCGGCGUGCCCGUUCUGCGACCAGGAGCCAGAAAUGAUUGAUCACCUGCUCCUUGAAUGUGUUCUCGCUCGGCAAGUUUGGGCCGUCAUCAUGGAUAACUGGGAAAAGCCUCACUGGACACCGGAGCCGGAGGCUGAACUCGUGGGAUGGUGGACCUCCCUCAAUAUUCAGAAGAACAAAAGAAAAGAAACAUGGACGGUGGUCACUCUAGUGGCUUGGACACUGUGGAAACACAGGAAUGACAUUGUGUUUAACGGAGCUUCACCUUCCGUGAAUGAGGUUCUGCGACGUUCGAAGCAGAGGGACAAAACUGGAGGGCUGCGGCACUGUUGCGGGAGGCAGGAUCGCUCCCAGUCAGGAUAG